rnacentral:misc_RNA from 1 species
GUAUUGUGUUUCCGCCCUUGCGAGCAUCCACGUUCUACAAGACUAUUACAAUAAGUUUGUGAUAAGACGACGCCGCGGCCUCCGAUGCCCAAAUGAAUGGACACCACCAAACGAGACCGCGUUAUCGAAAGUGCACAGGGGUUGAGUGGAUGGAGCGGGGCCCGAGCACGGUGCUUCGCGAGAAGCCAGCUCAAAGACCCACUUCAGAACUCGAUAAUGAUCCUUCCGCAGGUUCACCUACGGAAA